rnacentral:rRNA from 1 species
CCCUCGGGCGGGGGACAACAUCGGGAAACCGGUGCUAAUACCGCAUAAGGCCACGGGCUGGGAUGUCUGUGGUAAAAGGAGCGAUCCACCUGGGGAUGGGCCUGCGGCCUAUCAGGUAGUUGGCGGGGUAAAUGCCCACCAAGCCUAAGACGGGUAGCCGGUCUGAGAGGAUGAACGGCCACACUGGAACUGAGACACGGUCCAGACUCCUACGGGAGGCAGCAGUGGGGAAUUUUGCGCAAUGGGGGAAACCCUGACGCAGCGACGCCGCGUGGAGGACGAAGGCCUUCGGGUUGUAAACUCCUUUUAUGGGGGAAGAUAGUGACGGUACCCCAUGAAUAAGCCACGGCUAACUCUGUGCCAGCAGCCGCGGUAAGACAGAGGUGGCAAGCGUUGUUCGGAAUCACUGGGCUUAAAGGGCGCGUAGGCGGUGGAGCAAGUCCGGGGUGGA